UCGUUGAACUGCCCUUCAACAUAACCUAAACUAGAUACGAGUACUCACGUUCCCCAUUCUUAUCUGUUCACAUCGUAAAAUUUCAACAAACACCCGCCCCAAGAAUGCGUCGCAUCCAAGCCGCUGGGCCAGGCCCAUUCGCGCCCCGUGAUCCUGAGGACGAAAAACGCCGCGCGCGUGAAUCCACCCUCAGUAGUUUGCUUAUAUUCGGUCUCGUUUGUGGCUUAAUCAAAACAGCCCCCUUCGUUAUCAAUCAUCUACGAGCGUAGUCCAGCCCCGUAGGUCGAUUUUCCAUACAAUCUAUUCAGCAUAACUCACAUGUACAACAAUCGAAGAGGGAGGAUUUAUACACUAUCAUCUCUUCCAAACCAAAAAAAAGCCAUUGCAACUCAACUAGACUAGUGGUACUUGACUUAUCAAAGAUGUGAUCAUUUGUACUGACAACCUGUACUGUUUGUAUAACUUGUACAGAGUGAAGCGUACAAUUUUUUCUAUUGAGUGUAAACUGUGAAGCACAUCACAUUGCAUGGAUGUGUGAUACAAGCAAGUCAUGUAAAUGUGUAAUAGAUUCAUUAUAAUAUUACAAGAAUUACUGAGUUUGUAUAAAUUCCUAUCCUAUAUUCAUAAUUAUAGAGUAAAAUUUGACUUACCACAAUCAUUUAUUUAUAGGAAGGGAUCACCUAAUUAUUAAAACACCAUUUUAAUUAGUAAAUCUGCAGGAGUCAGUACCUUUUCAGAGAUCUAACUUGAAGGUUAUAAAAUUUGUUAAUUUUUGAUUUAAGAGGGAAAAUUUGACAUUGUGAAAGUUAACUUGUAUCAUAUAUCAUCUAGAUUCGAAUGAAACUCGUCUUGCGCAUUACUGAAAACUAUCACUAUACAAAUAUAAAUAAGAUUCAAAAGUUAUAAAUUACUUACAAAAUCUAUUUCGAAACUACGUAAUCCAUUGAUUUAAAUGAAUUAUUCGAACAGAGCAUCACUCAAAACAAAUUUGAAUAUGCAACCAUUUGCAUCAGUUGAACAAACUGCCAGAAGAAGAAUCUGGAACCUGUAGACAGAAGAAAGAGGAACUUAGGGACUUGCGGCUGAACUGCUGGACGACUCAGGCACGACUGAGUGCGGAGCGCACUGCGUGCUGCCCUUUUGCACUUGCCCCAAACCCGCAAAAAAGGGUGGGGCAGCGUGGUAUACAAUACUGGCAACAUCGAGCUGGUGGGGGCACUAGAUUCGAAAACUCAAGUCUAUCUUGCGCCCCACCACUUCUGUACCAGACAGCCCUCUGGAAUAUAAGGGCAAGCUGGUUUUAGCUUCCACUUCGGAGAAGUAUGCGUCAGUUGCAAGGAGUUUCCUAGCUGAAAAUAAAUAAAUGUAAUAAACA